rnacentral:rRNA from 1 species
AAGGAAUAUUGGACAAUGGACGCAAGUCUGAUCCAGCCAUGCCGCGUGAAGGAUGAAUGCCCUCUGGGUUGUAAACUUCUUUUAUAGGGGAAGAAAGAUACUUUUUUUAAGGUAGUUGACGGUACCCUAUGAAUAAGCACCGGCUAACUCCGUGCCAGCAGCCGCGGUAAUACGGAGGGUGCAAGCGUUAUCCGGAUUUACUGGGUUUAAAGGGUGCGUAGGCGGGCAUGUAAGUCAGUGGUGAAAUACCGGAGCUUAACUUCGGAACUGCCAUUGAUACUAUAUGUCUUGAAUAUUGUGGAGGUGAGCGGAAUAUGUCAUGUAGCGGUGAAAUGCAUAGAUAUGACAUAGAACACCGAUUGCGGAGGCAGCUUGCUACGCAAAUAUUGACGCUGAGGCACGAAAGCGUGGGGAUCAAACA